UUUCUCUUAGUUUAAAGGUAAAACAACAUUCUUCUAAAGUGUUAACUUUGGUUCGAGUCCAAAAGAGAAUU